GGGUAACACCGACAAAGCAAAGAGAAAUCAGGAGCAGAACAAGAAACCGAAAGAAGAAGCAACGAGAAAUAUGGUGGACUUGAAGUUCUUGUUUAACAUCGCAGUUAUGUUAGUGAUUGUGUUUGUCUGCAUGACCAACGCGGAGCCCGAAGCUGAUCCUUCGCCAGAUGCGGACGCAGAUCCUGUAGCAGGAUGGAAAGAUGUACUGGCCAAAGUACUGAAGGGAUAAGCAAUCCAGGAUAUUUGUCGAAACUGUAAGCUUAUGAUACUGAUAAUAUACAAGCAUUCCUGAAGCAAAA